rnacentral:rRNA from 1 species
UACAGAGGGUGCAAGCGUUGUUCGGAUUUACUGGGCGUAAAGCGCACGUAGGCGGAUUGGUCAGUUAGAGGUGAAAUCCCGAAGCUCAACUUCGGAACUGCCUUUAAUACUGCCAGUCUAGAGUCCGGAAGAGGUAAGUGGAACUCCUAGUGUAGAGGUGGAAUUCGUAGAUAUUAGGAAGAACACCAGUGGCGAAGGCGGCUUACUGGUCC